CACAGAAGGGGUUCAGCCAAACUGGGAUUUUAUAAUACGAACGGAAUCCGAACUGACCGAAGCUUCAUAUUUCGUAAUAUACGUUCUGUAGUCUCAAUGGAAAUUCAGCAUAAAUGCAGUGUAAAAACAACACACCUGAGAUCAGCUGACGGCAAUACGCAGUUUUUAAUCAGAUUAGGCAUUAUAGCUGACAGGGGAGAUAGCGCUGAGAUAUGCGGUGGUCCUGGUUGCUUAGGCGUCAUCGUCGCGCAUGCGCACUCGGGACAAACCUCUUUAUAUUGACCUACCGGCUCAGUCUCCGUCGUUAAGGUGGGCUGGUAAAAUGCAUGUCUGGGCUAUUGGCAUGGGACAUGGCGCGUUGUCUUAGGGAGUCCACCGUUAUUGCCGUCAUGAUGGUGUUUCGCUGCUUCGCCGAGCUCGUUUGCUCUGCGGAUGGUGUCCUGUUGUUUGCCCUCGGAUCCCAAAGUCUUGACCCCCUACCUGGCUGCAUGGCAACUAGCGGGACCCACAUGGGCUCUCAGGAGUGUGAGGACGCUGUGGAAAUCCAGGGAUAGAGAAAACAUCCCUGAAUAACUGACUGCAGCAGCCCCAGCAGGAGGCAGUGAAGCGCACGCUCAGGAGGUAUGGAAGUAGCAGUAUGGUUCUCUCUCUCUCUCUGAAGAGGAAGGGGUGCAGGUACCCCCCCUCCCAGAAGGCGUAACACGGAUGAUGGGAUGGACCUGGAUAGAUUCCCCAAACGAAAGCGAAGAUGUCAGGGACGAGACACCGCUGAGUCAGUGUGGAGGUGUGUCUGUUGAGCACAGAGCUGGCGUCCUCACCGUGCCGGAUUAACCGCUAAACAGCUUUAUGCUUCUGCUUGUGUGCUGAUCUAAACGAGAUCACCUCCUGAUCACCAUCUGCAGUCCACUUUAAUCUCAUGAAUCUCAACUCCCUACUUGAGACAAGCUAGGAUGUCAGGGGUAUCAUGGGUUUAAUUUCCAGUUCUUACAGUCCAGUGACUUAUUCAUCACGAAACACAGUCCUAGAUCAAACUAAUGAGCCUCUCCCUGGCAGGUGCCCAGACUGAGAAGCCAGAGGAAGAGAUUCAACCAGGUCCAUCAUCCUGGUUCAGACCUGCAAUCGGACAUGUUGGCAGGGAGCCAGACAAAGGAGGAGACUCUGAAUAGGAUGAGUCAGCAUUGUUGAAUAUUCAAAAAUCUUAAUAGUAAAUGCACUCAAAUAUUAUUUAGCAGCAAUAUAUUCAUUCUGAAGUUUCUCUCUACUGCUUUGUGCGAGCUCUGCGUGAGCUUAACAAGCCAAUCACCAUCAUUUCUGUCCAUGCUCACUCAGCAUGGCAUGUUUGUGAAAUUAAUAAAUAUGCAUGGGGCAAAUGAGAACUGACCACCAGAAGACGUGUGGAAAUAUUUUGGAUUCCAUAGAGAAAAUAUUGAGCAAAAUCAAGUGAUUUGUCAGCACUGAUGUCGCUGUUAAUUUUAUUUGUACAUUUUGUCAUAGUUGGUAGUUAAAAAUGUCAAUUUAUGUUCUGUGAAAUUCAGUUCUAUAUUUUGAAUUGUGAAGUAGUCAGUAGUAGAUAAUUCUGUUUGGCUAUAGUUUAUCAGGUAACUUUUCAACUAUUUUGUGUUAAAUAUAAUUAUUGCCUUUUGAACUUUAAUCCAAUGUCGCUCAACCCUAGUUUCAAGGCUACAUUAAUAUUGUCAUUCUUUUGCAGCAGUGAGUGAUGUCUUUUGUAUGGAAAUCAACUGAGAAGCCUGUAAGCCAGAAAAGUUAGUAUUGUGUCAAAAAGAAAUCAUUUGGUGUAACUGCCCAAAGAACAAGCUAUUAUACAUUAUUGAAUGCUACUAUA